AGCAGCCGCGGUAAUUCCAGCUCCAAUAGCGUAUAUUAAAGUUGUUGCAGUUAAAAAGCUCGUAGUUGAAUUUCGGGGUCAGUAGGCUGGUCGUGCCACAGGUAUGUACUGGUCUCACUGAUUCCUCCUUCCUGAUGAACCGUAAUGCCAUUAAUUUGGUGUUGCGGGGAAUCUGGACUGUUACUUUGAAAAAAUUAGAGUGUUUAAAGCAGGCUAACGCUUGAAUACAUUAGCAUGGAAUAAUGAAAUAGGACGAUCGAUCCUAUUUUGUUGGUUUCUAGGAUUGACGUAAUGAUUAAUAGGGAUAGUUGGGGGCAUUAGUAUUCAAUUGUCAGAGGUGAAAUUCUUGGAUUUAUUGAAGACUAACUACUGCGAAAGCAUUUGCCAAGGAUGUUUUCAUUAAUCAAGAACGAAAGUUAGGGGAUCGAAGACGAUCAGAUACCGUCGUAGUCUUAACCAUAAACUAUGCCGACUAGGGAUCGGAUGAUGUUAAUUUUUUAAUGACUCAUUCGGCG
rnacentral:rRNA from 1 species